UUGAGUUGAGUUGAGUUGAGUCCCUGUAGACUACUGCAAUACUUUGCCUUCAACUCAAUCACAGAAAAUUUUAGUUGAGAUACGUUAUUGAUUAUGGUUUUCCAUUGUUAUUGAGUUUAUGCCUAUCUCACUUUUCAGUUCAUUUCAAUAUACUAUUCUCUCACUUGCCUUUCUGAUUGCCUCAAAAUUGUCAUUGUCAAUCCACUUUGCAGGUGAAAAAUUUGGCAGGAA
rnacentral:misc_RNA from 1 species